rnacentral:lncRNA from 1 species
CUGCUGCUGUGUUUGGGACUGACCCUAGUCUGUGUCCAUGCAGAAGAAGCUAGUUCUACGGGAAGGAACUUUAAUGUAGAAAAGAUUAAUGGGGAAUGGCAUACUAUUAUCCUGGCCUCUGACAAGAGAGAAAAGAUAGAAGAACAUGGCAGCAUGAGACUUUUUGUGGAGCACAUUCAUGUCAUGGAGUAUUCUUUAGCUUUUAAAUUCCAUACUGU